GACGAACGCUGGCGGCGUGCUUAACACAUGCAAGUCGAACGGUGAAGGGGCCUGCUUUUGUGGGCCCUGGAUGAGUGGCGAACGGGUGAGUAACACGUGAGUAACCUGCCCCCUUCUUCUGGAUAACCGCAUGAAAGUGUGGCUAAUACGGGAUAUUCUGGGUCUGUCGCAUGAUGGGUCUGGGAAAGAUUUCGCCUUCGGGUGUUUUUGGUGGGGGAUGGGCUCGCGGCCUAUCAGCGUGUUGGUGGGGUGAUGGCCUACCAAGGCGGUGACGGGGAGCCGGGCUGAGAGGGGGGACGGUCACACUGGGACUGAGACACGGCCCAGACUCCUACGGGAGGCAGCAGUGGGGAAUAUUGCACAAUGGGGGCAAGCCUGAUGCAGCGACGCCGCGUGAGGGAGGGAGGCCUUCGGGUUGUAAACCUCUUUCGCCAGUGAAGCAGGCCUGCUCCUUGUGGGUGGGUUGACGGUAGCUGGAUAAGAAGCGCCGGCUAACUACGUG
rnacentral:rRNA from 1 species